CCGAGUUUACAACUCCCAAACCCAAUGUGAACGUUACCAAACUGUUGCCUCGGCGCGGGGUCACGCCCCGGGUGCGUAAAAGCCCCGGAACCAGGCGCCCGCCGGAGGAACCAACCAAACUCUUCCUGUAGUCCCCUCGCGGACGUAUUUCUUACAGCUCUGAGCAAAAAUUCAAAAUGAAUCA
rnacentral:misc_RNA from 1 species